rnacentral:rRNA from 1 species
ACUCCUACGGGAGGCAGCAGUGGGGAAUAUUGCACAAUGGGCGCAAGCCUGAUGCAGCCAUGCCGCGUGUAUGAAGAAGGCCUUCGGGUUGUAAAGUACUUUCAGCAGUGAGGAAGGCGGGUACGUUAAUAGCGUGCUUGUUUGACGUUAGCUGCAGAAGAAGCACCGGCUAACUCCGUGCCAGCAGCCGCGGUAAUACGGAGGGUGCGAGCGUUAAUCGGAAUUACUGGGCGUAAAGCGCAUGCAGGUGGUUUGUUAAGUCAGAUGUGAAAGCCCGGGGCUCAACCUCGGAAUUGCAUUUGAAACUGGCAGACUAGAGUACUGUAGAGGGGGGUAGAAUUUCAGGUGUAGCGGUGAAAUGCGUAGAGAUCUGAAGGAAUACCGGUGGCGAAGGCGGCCCCCUGGACAGAUACUGACACUCAGAUGCGAAAGCGUGGGGAGCAAACAGGAUUAGAUACCCUGGUA